AGCGAACGCUGGCGGCAGGCCUAACACAUGCAAGUCGAACGAACUCUUCGGAGUUAGUGGCGGACGGGUGAGUAACACGUGGGAACGUGCCUUUAGGUUCGGAAUAACUCAGGGAAACUUGUGCUAAUACCGAAUGUGCCCUUCGGGGGAAAGAUUUAUCGCCUUUAGAGCGGCCCGCGUCUGAUUAGCUAGUUGGUGAGGUAAAGGCUCACCAAGGCGACGAUCAGUAGCUGGUCUGAGAGGAUGAUCAGCCACAUUGGGACUGAGACACGGCCCAAACUCCUACGGGAAGCAGCAGUGGGGAAUCUUGCGCAAUGGGCGAAAGCCUGACGCAGCCAUGCCGCGUGAAUGAUGAAGGUCUUAGGAUUGUAAAAUUCUUUCACCGGGGACGAUAAUGACGGUACCCGGUGAAGAAGCCCCGGCUAACUUCGUG
rnacentral:rRNA from 1 species